GAGUGGUUACGCCCCAUUAAGAGAGCAGUGGUAAUAACUUUAUUGCAAAAAUACAGGAUCCCUCUUUCCCUCGUUCGCCAAGCAAUGAUACCCAGUACCAACACACACAAACACCCUACACACACACAAACACAUACAACUCGCUCUCUAAAAACGACUCCUAGCCCUCUUUCAUCCUCACAUCAUCUCUAUUUCACACACAAACAGUACAUCAUUUUAUCUCCUCUCUAUGUACUUUCUUUCAUUCGCCAUCGCUCUCUUUCUUCCACUCUCUCUUUGCAUUGAAUUUCCAUUGACUGUUCCGAGCAUAGUAUACAGCCCUCGAACUCAACUCUGUACCCCGAAGCCAGUUCCACUGCAUCUUUUCAUUGUUCCCCUGUAAUCAGGGACUGAUUUUAGACCUGGGACACCAGGUGUGUGCAAUUCAUUAUCAGUUAGAACAGAAAAAUAGCAGGCUCCGGACCUCGUAGGGUCAGAGUUGAAUACCCCCUGGUAUACAUUAUCCCUUCUUACUACAUAGUGAACCACUUCAGUACUAUGUAUGUAUAUGGUGCGAAUCGGAAAUCACACCCUAUUCCCUAUGUAGGGCUCUGGCCAAAAGUAGUGUGUAGUAUAUAGGGAGACGGGUGUCAUUUGGAAUCGAGCCAAUGACUUAGUACAGUAUUCAACAGCAGCAUUUAAUCACGUAUCUUCUUGACUUAAAUUCGUAAAUAAAGCGUCCGUUCGUGGCGUGUCCACUUCCUGCUUCCUAUCUGUCAGGUCAGAGGUCAAGGGUCAGGAGGGAAGGUUGAUUUGCAUAGCAGACUCAUGCGCUACAGUUGGCUACAUUCUCCAACAUCCACAACACAAACAGCAACAAAAUAAUCAAAUUAAUAAAUACAUUUUUUUUUUUUAAAUCACAAUGUUAAAAGACAGACAGAGAGCUGUGUCUUUGUCUAAGUGCCAACCUUUGGUUUAGAUACAACAAUCAUUUAUCAGUUCUGUCUAGAUCUCGUUCUGCACUGGCCAUUGGUCUCCAAAUAGGGAUUAGUUAUAAUGUAUUAAAUGUAUGUACUUAUUAUGUAUAUACAUACAUAUUAUAUGUACAUAUGUCAUAACAUGUUCAGCAGGUUAAAUCAUAUCAUAACAUUUUCAAGACAUGUCAGUGUUAUUCAGUUAGGGGUAAGUCAGAGAACCCUGUUAUAACUAGAGCAUGAGAGACAAUACCUACAGUACACAUAUGAAGUAUAUUUAUAAUAAAGUGUAGUUCACCAUUCAUAUCUGAGUAACAUCAGGGUCAGAGCUGAACGGAAAGGUCCAGAAGAAGAUAGAGAAUCUCAGUAACUAAGAACCAAUCAUGUUAACCUGAGGCCUCAAAUAAAUUAGAUUACAUUUACCCUUCAUCGAGUACACUUCAGCAAGUACCGUUCAGCUGGUACACUUUCCUAAGUACCCUUCAGCAAACACACUUCCCAAAUGACAAUUUAGCUCCCUUACCCUCGCUCGGUCAAAGCUCUCGCUCUCUCUCACGUUACAUCAGGUGUGCAGAAGUUUGUUCCGUUUAGCUACCGUUAUCUGUAAAAAAAAAAAUCUAUUCAAUUUUAAAAAAGGAAAAAGGAAGGUAGUUUCUCCCGAUAGAAAUGGGAGAGCAGCGUUAGCCGUUACAACGGUCAGUCAGGUGACCUCCAGCUGGACACUUGUGAAGGUCACUCAAUCCAGGUCCAGGAGGACCAGGCGUCACCACUAAAGUUAUCAAUAUCUUCAUUAUUAUCAUUAUUAGUAUGAACAUUCCAUAAGGUCUUAAUAACAUACAGGUUUCAUAUAUCGUUUUUCUGUACAUGACUUUAGUUAUUAUUAGAGUUCAGUCUAUACGUAGCUAUGUAGGCACGUACGCACUGGUCCUGGGGUUCCCUUGGAAACAACAUAUCCAGGUGUGCUGUGCUGUCGUCAGACAGGAAAUGCCCAUAAAGAAAAAGGAAGAAGCCGUGGCUUAUCGGUAACCCCCUCCUCCCCCUGUGGAUCUUUCAGUCACCUCAAAGUUCCAGAGCCCCUCUGAUUGGGGCAGAUAAAGCAGGGAGAUCAUAGGCUAAACCUGGCUAGCUAAUCUACUCCCCCCUUUAUAGGCCCAAAGAGGGGAAGGCUAGCAGGAUAAUGUUCAGAGUCGGACUAUAUUAGGAGGCUAACAGGCUAGCAGGUCGCAAGCUAGCUAGCUAGAAGUGUAAUUAGGUGAGUUUGUUGUUUUGGGUUUCAGAGUAAUUCCUGCUGAGGGGGACUAAGAAUGACUGCAUAGACUGAAUAGUUGAAGAAGGGCGGAGGGUGCGAGAUGAGGGUAGAGGGAGGUUAGUAGACCACUGAGGGCCGGACGUGGGGAGAGGUGUGUGUUUGGGGUUGGGGGGGGGGGUCCUAGACCAACCCCCUAUCGUGGCGUUGGGUGAGGUGCAUGGCUGCUUUGGAAGAUGCCUGUAGCGGUGUGGAGAGUUAGGACCCCGGAUGUCUGCCCUGGGAACUGCCUUUAGCGGUGUCACGGGUAAGGACCUGCAAAUAGCUGUCCUGGGAGGUGCCUGUAGAACUGUGGAGGGUUUGGAUCCUAUAAGGCUGCCCUGGGAGGUCCCCGUAGUGGUGUGGAGGGUAAGUAAGGACCCUAGACGUCCAAUGUGGGAUGUGCUUGUAGCGGUGUGAAGGGUAUGGACCCCAGCGAGCAGCCCUGGGAGGUGCCUGUAGCGUAGAUGCAUAUGGAGGCACGUCAGUGGUUUGAAGACCACUGUCUUAAGUGGUCUGAAGUCAGCUUCACCCCCGUCAGACACCAGAAACUCCCCGCGCCAUUGGGCAUCUCCUGCAGGGGGAGGGACAACACAGUGACGGACAGGCCCCAGAGGUGAAGGGUAAGGGGUCAUGAAAGGACUGGGUGAUGAUAAUUAUGAUAAUGAUGAUGAUUAUGAAGACGAAGAUACUGAAGUUGAAGAUGAUGAUGAUGACUAAGAUGAAGAUGGUGAUGAUGAAGAUGAUGAUGGUGUAACAAUACAGGGUCUCAGAGGAGAUUAGGUAAGUAAGCAGAGGCACUGACAUCUGUCUGCUUCACCUUCAGAAGGAGAGAGAGAGACGGGGAUAGAGAGAGAGAGAGAGAGAUGGGGAAUAGAGAGAGAGAGAGAGAGAGAUGGGGAAUAGAGAGAGACGGGGGAUAGAAAGAGACAGGGAUAG
ensembl:lncRNA